CCUUCGGUAGUACAGUUGGUAACACCUCAGCGCAAUGAUUUUGUGUCUUAGGUUCGAAUCCUUGCCGGAGGG